rnacentral:rRNA from 1 species
CCUACGGGAGACAGCAGUGAGGAAUAUUGGUCAAUGGACGAGAGUCUGAACCAGCCAAGUAGCGUGAAGGAUGACUGCCCUAUGGGUUGUAAACUUCUUUUAUAUGGGAAUAAAACGUUCCACGUGUGGGAUUUUGUAUGUACCAUAUGAAUAAGGAUCGGCUAACUCCGUGCCAGCAGCCGCGGUAAUACGGAGGAUCCGAGCGUUAUCCGGAUUUAUUGGGUUUAAAGGGAGCGUAGGUGGAUUGUUAAGUCAGUUGUGAAAGUUUGCGGCUCAACCGUGAAAUUGCAGUUGAAACUGGCAGUCUUGAGUACAGUAGAGGUGGGCGGAAUUCGUGGUGUAGCGGUGAAAUGCUUAGAUAUCACGAAGAACUCCGAUUGCGAAGGCAGUUCACUGGACUGCAACUGACACUGAGGCUCGAAAGUGUGGGUAUCAAACAGGAUUAGAUACCCUUGUAGUC